rfam:Poecilia formosa, whole genome shotgun sequence.
GCCGGGUGAGGUGGCUCUCACCUGUAAUCCAAGCUACCUGGAGGCUGAGGCUGGAGGAUUGCUUGAGCUCAGGAGCUCUGAGCUGCAGUGGGGCUAUGUUAAGUGGGGGUCCACACUAAGUUCAGUAUAGAUAUGGUGUUCCUGGGGGAGCCUUGGACCACCAGGUCUUCUAAGGAGGGGUGAACCGGCCCAGGUCGGGAACGGAGCAGGUCAAAUCCCCCGUACUGCUCAGUAGUGGGAUCGCCCCUGUGAAUAGAUGCUGCAGUUCAGCCUGAGCAACACAGUGAGACCCAGUCUUUU